GUGAGGAAUAUUGCGCAAUGGAGGCAACUCUGACGCAGCCAUGCCGCGUGCAGGAAGAAGGCGCUACGCGUUGUAAACUGCUUUUAACCGGGAAGAAACCCCAGGACGUGUCCUGGGUUGACGGUACCGGAGGAAUAAGCACCGGCUAACUUCGUGCCAGCAGCCGCGGUAAUACGAAGGGUGCAAGCGUUAUCCGGAUUCAUUGGGUUUAAAGGGUGCGUAGGCGGAGCGUUAAGUCAGUGGUGAAAUCCUGCAGCUUAACUGUAGACUUGCCAUUGAUACUGGCGCUCUUGAGUGCGCUUGAAGUGGGCGGAAUGUGCCGUGUAGCGGUGAAAUGCUUAGAUAUGGCACAGAACACCAAUUGCGAAGGCAGCUCACUAAGGCGAUACUGACGCUGAGGCACGAAAGCGUGGGGAUCGAACAGGAUUAGAUACCCCUGUAGUCU
rnacentral:rRNA from 1 species